GCCUGGGUGGCUUAGUGGUUGAGCAUCUGCCUUUGGCUCAGGGUGUAAUCCUUGGUCUGGGAUCGAGUCCCACUUUGGGCU
rnacentral:tRNA from 1 species